rnacentral:rRNA from 1 species
UUUGUCCACUAAUUAUGGACCCGUAUGAAAGGCCACAUGAGAAUCUAACUGUCUCUUGUAACCAAUUUAUAAAACUGAUCUUCCAGUCCAAAAGCUGGAAUUUUACUAUAAGACGAGAAGACCCUGUGAAGCUUAAAAAACCCCGUUAAACUAAUUUAACGGGUAUUUUUAGUUGGGGCAACUUUGGAAAACAACAUAACUUCCAAAAAAGGAAACACUCCAUACCAAGACCAACAAGUCAAUAAAGACCCAGUAUAACUGAUAAAUGAACCAAGUUACUCCAGGGAUAACAGCGCAAUCUUCUUCAAGAGCCCAUAUCAAAAAGAAGGUUUACGACCUCGAUGUUGGAUCAGGACACCCAAAUGGUGCAGCCGCUAUUAAAGGUUCGUUUGUUCAACGAUUAACAGU